CGUGCAGGUGGUUUGGCAAGUCGGUUGUGAAAUCCCCGGGCUCAACCCGGGAACUGCAUCCGAAACUUCCAGACUAGAGUCCCGGAUAGGAAGGCAGAAUUCCCAAUGUAGGGGUGAAAUCCGUAGAUAUUGGGGGGAAUACCAGCGGCGAAGGCGGCCUUCUGGACGGUGACUGACACUCAGACGCGAAAGCGUGGGGAGCAAACA
rnacentral:rRNA from 1 species